rnacentral:tRNA from 1 species
AAUUAUGAAGUAAAUUUUACAAUUUAAUUUCGACUUAAAUUUUUGGUUAUUUAACCCAUUUUUA